rnacentral:lncRNA from 1 species
GAGUCCCUCCGGUGGGGGAGCAGGCGCGCAGGAAGGGAGGUUUGGAGAGGAGGCCUCGGGCCUCGGAUCUGCAGCCUCCCGCCUCCGCGCCCGGGCUCGCGUCCCGGGGAGUUCUGCGCAGAGGGAUCCCUAGGGCCCCUUGCUGGACACGCCUGUAGGGGGCAGCAGAGGAUGCCUGGGGUUCAAUUAAAAGCAGACUGAAGUGCAGGAGGUGCCAACUGUGGAGGCAGGACCAGUUAAUGCUGCCUGACAAGAAAACUGAUGUCAGAGAAGUUAAGUGGCUUGUUCAAGCUCCCCCAGCUAGGAAGUGGUAGACUGGGUCUAGGCCGUCUGUGACCGUCCAUUACACUGACCUGUGGUCAUGUAUGUGCUCAGGUCUGUCCAUUGCCUACACCAUGUGUCUUGAUAACCUGUGUUGGGUCUCGCUUGCCAGGCCAUCUCUUUGUGUCAGGUUUCGCUUGCUAGGCCUUUCUAUUUUGAAUGAACACUGAAAAUUAUUCCUUUGUAACUUCCACUUAACCUUGCAGACAAGCUCGCUGGUGGUUUGGGCUGCCCUGGCACCUCUCCCUGAACCCAGCCUCUAUGGGGAUUAAUGUCCCCUUGAAGGGAAAGUGGGCCCAGCUUCUCCAGCACAAAGCAGUCAUGAGCGUGUUUGGUGCAUUUGAUCAUUCCAGAAGAACCAUGAGAUUGGAGAGUUUGUCCUGAAGUUAAUAACAGUUACUCAAUACAGACCUCUCAUUGAACCCAGUAUUUGCAGGGAGUGGGCACAGUGACUGGCUUUGGUCAAGGCAGUGGGUCCCUGAACGACCUCAACAGGCAGAGCCUCCUGCCAACCAGCGAUGGACACAAAGAACCAAAAGAGAAAUGAAUGUUUGCUGUUGUAAGCCUCUGACGCGUUGGGGUUGUUUGUUCCUGCACCACAACCUAACUCAUCCUGACUGAAACCGUAUGUGUUCAGAUUCAUUGCACCAUUUGCCCACUCAAGUGUGUCCCUGUUCCUUUGGAUAAUUGGGUCUUAUUGCAGGAAUAAAACACUCUCCAUGUCUCAGCAUUCUUUAAUUCAAUAAAUAACAAUGGAGCGAGUACUGUGGGUGAGCACUGGGCUGGGGGCCCUCUCCUCAGAGAGUGUAAUCAAGAAGAUAAGACGCAUGCACAAAUAUCUUGAAUAAACCUCAGAAAACAGGCAUAAAUUAAAUGUAGGAGCCCAGAGAAGAUCAGAACAGUGUCACAGCCGACCUACACUCCAUCUACACUCACCUUACUACUGUUCGCUGUACAGGCUCUGCUCAUUCUCCCUCACGGACUUUGCGCUUGCUAGUUCUCUCUGAAGUUCUCUUAUAAUUUCCCUCUCCUCUCAAAUGUUCCCCCUCAGCAAGGUCUUUCUUUCCAUGGCCACUUCCCAGAACCCAGGACAGACCCAGAACAGACCUGGCACUCGAUAAAUAUUGUUGAGUAAAUUCUAAAUGAUGCCUUCGAGGAAGUGAUCUUUGAUCACAGGCUUCAGGGAUGGUGGGAGAUUAAUAGUGACGCCGGGAAAGAAAGACAGGAGGGCAGAGUCUUUGCGGAAGAAAGAACAAGACAGUAACAUGGGACAGCCCAUGAACAGGAACAGAAAUUGUUACGCCUGGUCAGUCCCCAUAACCGCCAGCCAGAAGAAAGAGAUUAAACUAACUCCAAAGUCGGUGGUAUGGAGUUGGGGUGGAUUCAACUAUUAUAUUGAUUUCAUCCACGCCACUUCUAAGUCUUCGGGGGUUUUCCCUCAGUUUUAUAGUCAUUACUCAUUAGAACCUAAGCACUGCAUUUUUAAUAGGAAAUAAUUCAAACUCACGGGAUGCAAGACAGCACUUGAGUUGUAAUAUUAAUCUGCCUUUUAAGGCCCCUCUGGCCGACCGGGCUCAGCAUCCUAAGUUAUGACAUUGCUUGUGAUUCAUUAAAAUCCAGCCAGUUCGGGGAAGGAGGGACACCGACCACUUUAACACAGGACUAGCUGUCUUCAACCACCUUUCUCAGGUUCAGACAAUCCAAGUCGCUAAAGGAGCUGCGCAGGAAGACCCACCACACUGUUCUGGACCCCUCUUAAAGCUCUCCGAUGGCCUGUUAAAAAAGGAUUGAGUCUCAGAUGGAAAACUGCCGAAAGCGUCUUGUUUUGAUGCUUGGAACAAUGUAAUGCUGAUUCCAUUAAUUUCUGCGAGAAACAGCUCUGCUCGCUAACCCACUUGCGGCCCGCAGAUGGUUACAGGGUAAACAGUGCUCCCUGGUGGCAACGACCGGCGUUGUCUGCUGGUUGAGAAAGAGAAAGAAGAAGAGCUCAGGUUUUGGCCUCUGAGCAAAGUGGCAGACAGCAGUGUCAUCAAGCUCAGCAGCGUUUCACAGUGAUGGCGUCCUUCUCCUCAGGACCAGUACUGGUCACCAUUAGCCCCUUUGCCUCUGACUUGUGAGUAGAAGUUGUGGUCCUUCCUGGGGCGGCCCAUCUGUAGUCGGAUUUCAGUAGAUAGUGUUUCCAGCUUAAAGCAGUUGCCUUAAUGGAGCUCAGGAGCCUGACAUUGGAUCUUGAUGGAGCGUUCCGAGAUUGGAGCUCAGGCCAGCUGGGACUAGGAGCAAGGCCGGCCAAGGGGAGGAGUGGUUCUCUCCCUGCUGAGCACUACAGAAGGCCUUGCACAUAAAUCCUUCGGGUUGCCAUUGUCUUUAUUGAUGGAACUCAAAUGCUGCUGUGUUAGGCAAGGCUCAGUUAAGGAGGCAGAACCACUGUGAAGAGGGAAUUUAUUUUAGGAAUGAGCCUUAUAUAAUUGUGGGAAAAGCUAGAGAAAUACAGAUCCAGAAGGGGGAGUUGGAGGAUAAGCAAAGAUCACCGGCCAGCUUCCCUGAAGCCCUGCAUGGGAUUCAGGACAAGCUGGGAUUCCCGUAUCUUUCAGGUGAACAGACUGGAACUUGCAGGAGACUCUGGAGAGGCAAGAGUGUCCAGCUUCCAGAGUAGGGCAGCGCAGUGCAAUGCCAGGGGAACCGUUCCCGGAGGAGAGGAAGGAGUUCAGCCUGUGCUGUGGCCAAGUGAGUGCCUACUGGAUCCAUCUUCACACAGGGAACAACUAACAUUCUGCAGGAAAUACGAAACAAAAAGAUCACAAACAAGUGGACACAACGACCUUCCUGAAGGCUCUGAAGAGAGAAGGGACAUUGGAUGAAGGAAAAGGCAUGGAGAAAGGUUCCUGUGUUUGUGGCUUGUCUCCUGAGAACAGGUCACGUCACUGUUGCAUGGAACAACUUACUGUCCUGUGGAAAACAACACUUUCUGGUCUGAAGGACCAGAGGACAGGGUUUGGAACAAUCACAGCCACUGCAAAGUAGAGGCGAGGAGUCCAAAACUGGACAGAACCAGAAAGGAAGACCCUCAAAUUCUGCUCAUAAAUGUCACCCCAGUUUUCGGAAGACCCAUGAACCACAUAUGCAUGGAGGGUAAAAGACCUGAACUGAUUUGAGCUGCAGCCCCAGAGACAUUUUUUUGAGUCCAACUAAGUUGAUCGCCAGCCAACAUUUUAAAAGUUAACGCUUUUCUGGGGCUGGCCCCGUGGUCGAGUGGUUAAGUUCGCGCGCUCUGCUGCAGGCGGCCCAGUGUUUCGUUGGUUCGAAUCCUGGGCGCGGACAUGGCACAGCUCAUCAAACCACGCUGAGGCAGCAUCCCACAUGCCACAACC